GACGAACGCUGGCGGCGUGCUUAACACAUGCAAGUCGAACGGAAAGGCCCUGCUUUUGUGGGGUGCUCGAGUGGCGAACGGGUGAGUAACACGUGAGUAACCUGCCCUUGACUUUGGGAUAACUUCAGGAAACUGGGGCUAAUACCGGAUAGGAGCUCCUGCUGCAUGGUGGGGGUUGGAAAGUUUCGGCGGUUGGGGAUGGACUCGCGGCUUAUCAGCUUGUUGGUGGGGUAGUGGCUUACCAAGGCUUUGACGGGUAGCCGGCCUGAGAGGGUGACCGGCCACCUUGGGACUGAGGUACGGCCCCGACUCCUACGGGAGGCAGCAGUGGGGAAUAUUGCACAAUGGGCGGAAGCCUGAUGCAGCAACGCCGCGUGCGGGAUGACGGCCUUCGGGUUGUAAACCGCUUUCGCCUGUGACGAAGCGUGAGUGACGGUAAUGGGUAAAGAAGCACCGGCUAACUACGUG
rnacentral:rRNA from 1 species